CUCACUUUUUGAAGUGUUUACAAUAUAAGCACAUCCUGGACUUGACUAAAAAUAGCUGGCACAAGCCCUUGUUGAAAUAGAAGUACCCAUGGGGUUAACACUUGCUGUUUGGACUGAGUGCCUGUUAUGUGAGGGACUUUUGGUUGACCCCAGUAGGCUCUAUGCCCAAUGCAGGGAUUUCAAGAGGCCAAGCAGCUGUUGAAACUACUUAAUGCUUUCACAGGGUUAGACAAAGAUAGAUCAGCUUGAAACUUGAAAAAUUAUGGUAUCCUACCUCUGUAUGUAAUUUGAAGCAAGAAAAAUUCUAAGCCAUAACAUUUUUUUUUUUUUUUCUGUUUUGGUGACCUUACUUGGUGGUAGCAAAGCAAGCAAGCAUGCACACACAUUCGCACAGAAGUUGG
rnacentral:lncRNA from 1 species